rnacentral:sRNA from 1 species
GCCGGGUGCUGUGGCGCACACCUGUAAUCUCAGAGGCUCAGGAGGCUGAGGCAGGAGGAUAGUGAAUUCAAAGCCAGCCUCAGCAUCUU